rnacentral:rRNA from 1 species
AAGCGCGCGUAGGUGGUUUGUUAAGUUGGAUAGUGAAAUCCCCGGGCUCAACCUGGGAACUGCAUUCAAAACUGACUGACUAGAGUAUGGUAGAGGGUGGUGGAAUUUCCUGUGUAGCGGUGAAAUGCGUAGAUAUAGGAAGGAACACCAGUGGCGAAGGCGACCACCUGGACUGAUACUGACACUGAGGUGCGAAAGCGUGGGGAGCAAACAGGAUUAGAUACCCGAGU